rnacentral:rRNA from 1 species
GACGAACGCUGGCGGCGUGCCUAAUACAUGCCAGUUGAGCGCUGAAGGUUGGUACUUGUACCGACUGGAUGAGCAGCGAACGGGUGAGUAACGCGUGGGGAAUCUGCCUUUGAGCGGGGGACAACAUUUGGAAACGAAUGCUAAUACCGCAUAAAAACUUUAAACACAAGUUUUAAGUUUGAAAGAUGCAAUUGCAUCACUCAAAGAUGAUCCCGCUUGUAUUAGCUAGUUGGUGAGGUAAAGGCUCACCAAGGCGAUGAUACAUAGCCGACCUGAGAGGGUGAUCGGCCACAUUGGGACUGAGACACGGCCCAAACUCCUACGGGAGGCAGCAGUAGGGAAUCUUCGGCAAUGGACGAAAGUCUGACCGAGCAACGCCGCGUGAGUGAAGAAGGUUUUCGGAUCGUAAAACUCUGUUGGUAGAGAAGAACGUUGGUGAGAGUGGAAAGCUCAUCAAGUGACGGUAACUACCCAGAAAGGGACGGCUAACUACGUG